UAGUUAUUAAUCAGAGAAGAUAGAUUUCGAAAAAAGGUGAAGAAAAAUUAGCUGGGUACACUUGAUUACAACCCUUAUGAAUGCUUCACCUUCUCCUCUGUUUUUGGAAAAUUUCGACAUUACUUUCGAAUUGUUUUUAUGAUUUGAUUUGUCCACUUUGUAGAACUUAUCAAUUACAAUGAUUUGGUAAGGUAUCAAGUCGAUCCGAUACCUCGUGGUGUAUAAUCGAAGAAGAUAUUCGUCAAAAAAAAUCGAAAAAAAGUGAGCCGGCAGCACUUGAUUACAACUUUAAAAGAUUUUUUUCCCUCCUCCUGGUCGCAGUGAGUUAUGACAACGUCGCCAAUCCAAGUCGACCUUCACCUUCCGAUCACUGAGUCAGCCGGCAGAGGUGUGUUGGCGGCUCAGGCAAUCGGAGCUGGUGAAAUCAUCCACGCGGCCGCACCCAUAGUCUCUUAAUCUCUCUACAACAACGGGUGUUUAUAUUUGUGCCUCAUAAGUCUCAGAAACAGAACUACAUCUGCAGCCAAGAAUGUGAGGAACAAUCCGAGGUACAGUGGGUGGUUGUUGCAUCUAAUUCAAUUUCUAUUGGCGCACAUUCUAAUAGCUUUUUGGGUUUUGAUUUUUGAUUUUAUAUGGCUUACGGCAUUAGAAAUCGAUGCAAGGAGUAUGCCUCCUACGUGUUUGACAUUUGGCUUCUGGAGGAAGUCCUUUUUCGGCCUAUGUUUUUUGUGAAGUCUUUUGAUUCAAUAUUGUUACUUAGAAAAAGACUUGAAUAAAAUAUCAACUUCAGGGCUCUCGUUUGCCAGUUCAUUGAAAGAUAUGUUGGACAGAUGUGGAAAGCACAAGAUGCCUCUUAUAAACUUGAACUCCAUUUCUGAAUCCAUAGCUUUCGCGGUUGAUUGUGCAUGGUAAGGCUUCUACUAGAACCUUGUAUUCGAAAUGUGAGGUUAGACCAAUCUUUAUGUUGUACUCCUAUAAAUCUACAAGAAUCAUUGUAGACUUGGCUCUUUAUAGCUUCAGAUCAUUUAUUGGUUGCUUGUAAUGGUUUCACGAAUUGCAAUGCUUGAGAAAGACAUUUCACUAUAGAGAGGAAGAAGAUGAAUGGGGAUCUUAAAGGUGAAGGGCCAGAAAUACGAGGAUGGAGAUGAGGGAGUACAUUGUAGUAUACAUGGUAAUAUGUGUGGGUGGGACCGAAUCUUGCUACUCGUGGAGAAGAGGAGAACAUUGGGGCUUUCCUUUUUAUUUAUAGCCUAAGGGCAUCUUUUGGUCUUCAUUUGGGAGGGAAAAUGCUCAUUGACAUAAGUUUUUGCCAACUACGUGCGUAUGGCACAUGAACUGUUAAAAUGGAUGGAGACCUCUAAACCAAGCGGGGGUUAUGUGGUCAAGUUUAAACCUCAGGGGUAAAGAGCGGGUAAAAUGGACUUUUCCCAGAUUUGUUACGUAUUGUGGUCUAGUACUUUUGCACUAGACUAAUGUGCUUUCGUAAAUGUCACGUUGAAGUUGUAUGGUGUCCUGAUGAACAUUAUAAACCCCUGUUGUGUGGAGUUUAGAAUUGAUGAAACCACUAUUUGAGGUCCUCCUUGACUUUGACAUUUUUAGAAGUUAUAUACGAAUACCAUACCGGUUUUGUUCUUUAACUUGGGCCUAGUUUCUUGGAAGGUGCCUUCUUAACUUAUCCCCUUUCCCGCAACGUAAAAUGUUACAGUAGUAUUUGAAGAAGAAUGAACCAUGGUUCAGGUCGAUUUGUAAUAGGGAACAACCUGGCAAUGUGAUAUGGUUAGAAUUUAUAUAUCCAAAAGCUCUCUCUUUUGGUAUUUGCAUAUUGACUUUUUAGUCUUGAGAACAAUUUAUGAGUUAGAAAUGUUUUCUUAGAAGUUAAUUUCGGUAGAGUACCCUGGCUUUUUUCAUUCUUAAAGUAACAGGAUAGUAAGAGUUCCUUUUCGGAUUUGGAAAUCCUAUAAGAGAUGGUUUUGAAUAACACAAGUUAGGGAGACCAAUAUUUGUAGUGUGUUUGUUUCUAUAGACUUAAUCAUUUUUAGAUGUAUAUAUGUCCUUUAAGAGAGUAAUUAAGCAAUUACAAGGACCAACAUUUCUUUAUGUUGGUUUCACUUGAGUUAAAGCUUCCCAUAUUAGAAAUCAGGUUUUUGUACUUUUUUUAUCGUCAUUUAUAUGUGUUGUUUUCUCGACAUGCUGUAGUUUCUUAGCAGUAUUUCUGCAUCACUUAAUUAGUUAGCAGACUAAGUACUUUAGUUUCUAAUUGUCCUUUCCUUGGGCAACUAAACUAGCUGUGAAGAGAAGACAAUUCCAAACUUGUGUAGUCAGAAAUGUAUUGGUGUCCAGUGUCGUCUGCUGAGAAAAUUGCUUUGCUCUAUAGGCAGUUGAUUUGUAAGUAUUAUUGAGCUCAUUUCUUCCUAAAGGGCGCCAGAUUAUAUCUGUUGCCGUCUAUCCAUCUGAGUUUGGACUAAAGUGUAUGGAAGAGGAAGCAGUGCAUGGUCCAGUACUCCUAUUUGAUGACGACAAAGAGCAGAAUGAAAGUGAUGAUGAAAUCAAUGUUAAGAAACUGCAUGAAUAUGAAUUAAGUAGGCUAAGGUAAAUACCUGAUGCUGUUGCUUUUCCCAUGCAUGAGAUAUAUAGAUUAGUAUUAGCUUUGCUAGCAUACUUGUACAUAACAUCGUUUUGUUGUUUGUUCAUCUGAGAAAAUAAACUGCUGUCUUGUGCUCAAAUGAUUACUAAUGCUUCGUAUUUUUGCUCAAUUAAUCUGUGAGAUGUGAGAUACGAGUACGAAAAUUAAAACCUCUUCCUUUCUGAUGUUUUGUGGCCUUGUAAGAAAAACAUUAUGUAAACGGGAAAAAAGUUUAACCAAAAUCAUGCUUCUGCUGACAUUUUUCUGCUCUGAACUGAGGAGAGCUUUGGUGAAACUUUUGUAUUACAAAUUUGGAGGGUUUUCCAUUUUUUGUUUUAACUGGAGGAAGUUUAAACCUUUUAGUCGUUUCUUUGUAUUUUGAAGUUAUGACUACAGCAGGAUUCAUGCUUAAGAAAGAUUCCUCAAUGGAUUAUGCCUAUUUACUAAUUGGAGACGUAAAAUUUCUAGCUCUUUUUCCUUAUCUUUUUUCUGACAUACAUGCAAGGAAAUAAUCUUAUCUUGUUAUCUUAUAAAGUGUGCAACGCUCACCAUAUAAUACUUUCAUUAUGUUCAUCUUGUAAUGUUUUUCGGGUACUAUUAUGCAGUCGUGGAUUGCGAUUCCAUAGCUACUGCAGAUUAUCUUCAUAAAAGUUACGAUGGAAUUGCGUUCGAAUGAUCAUCAAAUAAGCUAGACUUGAGAUUUAUUCCGGACUCCAUGGAAUUUAAACAUCCCCCUUGUGAUGCCACAACUGAGGUAAUUUUUGCAGCUAUUAUAUGAUCUGUUUUGAAAAAAAGAACAUUGAUAUUUUCUGAUAAGCAAGUUUAGGGGAUUGGACUGAAUAAGUUUGUCAGGGAAUGCAACCGAAGCUACUAGUGGGUCCCAUUUGGGGACAGAAUAUUGAUUUUUUAAUGCUCUCAAUGUGAUUCUUGGAAAAGAUGUAGGACUGAUCCUGUAGAUGGCGGCUACUUGUGCUACAAGCCUACAAUCAUGUGUAGACGCCAAUAGAAAUUAGUAAUUGAUUUUGUUUUUUACAUCUUAAUUAGUGCUACCCCUACUAAUUGACGGAUGUUUUCAUUUAUGCUUCUAUCUCUCCUUGUCUCACCACACAUGCAUCUUAACAUUCUCAUUUUAGAGCUUUGCGUUCUCUUAGUUGCCGAAUACAAAGUUUUUUCAUAUUUUUCCUAUUGUGAUAAAAUGGCUUAAUAUCCGGUGGAUAGCUAUAGUAUUUGUGGCUUUCCAAAAUCCUUUUUCUUCUCUAUGUCAUGAAUGAUGAAUUAGUUUGUUCAUUUCCUGAUUAACUCUCCUCUUUUUAUGAACCUUCUAUCAAACUGUCUCUAUACAAUCAGUUACCAAGUCUCACUUCAAUCUUUCGUUUGUAUAUGGCUCCCCAGCCGAUGUAUAUAGAAAUCACGUUGUUUACUGUUCCAUUAAGAUAUCCAAUCGUCCUGCAAGCAGUUCGAGAUUUGUUAUUUUGAAGGCAAUAAUUGGCAUCACCGCAACCUGUACGUCUCAUGCAGCUCUUUUUCUUUCUAAUGAUAUUUUCUGUUCUUUGGUCUUCACCUAGGCUAUUGUGAGCCUGCUCUGCCUCAGAUUAACCUCAAAGUUAUUAUUUACAUUGUCAUUUCUACAUUUGGGCUAGGCCUCAGCAAACUAUGAAGGUUUAGAUUUCCAGACUUGAGCAUUACAGCGAAGUAACAUUCAUCUCACAUGGGAAGAUGAUGAGCCACAAUGCGCAAAGGCAUUAAAGAGGAAGUUUAAUAGUGACCAGAAGACAAACCUCAAAAGAAACAUAAGAAACAAGAUAUGAUCCCUCUACUCCAGUCUGGUGAAGAUUCUGAUGAGGACAAUGAAGAUGGUCAGGAUAUGGAGGAGUGCGACUUAUGCUCAGCAGUUAGCACAGAAGCAACGCAAGGGUGACCAAGAAGUACUGGGGUCAAAACAAGCUCAGUUGCCUUAUGAUGACCUAAAGACGGAAAAAAAUGAGUUUGUACAGUCUGAUGAUAUGUCCUCAAAGAAAAAAGAGAAGUAUGAACUAUCUUCGCUUGUUAGGUCAAUUAAGAUGAAGUUGAAACAAGUUCAAAUACCCACCGAUAGUAAGAUCUCAGGAAAAACUGGAAAAUCGGGAUCCAAGGCCAGAUGGUUAAAGAAGGAUGUUUUCGAUUGGUUGGCAAGGUAGGCUGGAGUUCUGCUAAAUUAAACUCUGGAAGGCAUGCUUGCUUUGGGUUUGUAAUGGAAGCAAAGCAAAAGAAAUGGAACUGGUGCUUCAAGUAACCAAGGGGCUGCACAAGAAGAGAGAGAUUAUUACUGUUUUCUUGUAAUAUGUAUUUUAGUUUUAUCAGUGAUCUAGAAUGGAUUUGCUGAAUGUUAGGAUCUUCGUUGGAAACCAGAAUUUCUAGCCUGAAAGCUAAGAUCUAGAGAAGUUGAAGCUUUCUUAUAAGAUUUUGUCUGUCGAGCACAUCUUUAAGCAAUGUAGCUGAGAAAAUUUUGAACGCAAGUUAGAUGAUUUCAUACUUUUUUUGGGUUCGGCUUAAGAGAAGAAACACUAG